ACUAAAAUUGGUUUAAAUAAGAAAGAUUGCGGUGUACGUUUUUUUAGUGGUGGGAAUUCCAAAAGGAAGUGUGAAAUGGGAGGGCCAGGGCGGUGCCUGCUGGUUACGGGGCCUUCGGGUGUGGGCAAAACCACUCUGAUCGUUAAGGUUUUUGAGAUGCUUAAAGCCUCUAGCCCUAACUUGAAGAUCAAAGGCUUCUACACUCGAGAAAUCAGGCAAGGAAGCCAGCGUGUUGGUUUUGAAGUUGUUACAUUAGAUGGCCGGACGGCUCCCCUUGCCUCCACCUCUGUGUCCAGCUCAGAGUCUUUAAGAUGGCCAACUGUUGGGAGGUAUAAAGUCGAUAUAGCAUCAUUUGAGUCAUUGGCGUUGCCAGAACUGCAGGUUGAAAAAGACACAGAUCUCUUCAUCAUAGAUGAGGUUGGGAAGAUGGAGCUAUUUAGUUCAUCGUUUUUUCCAGCUGUUCUGAAGGUUUUGGAAUCAAAUACUCCACUUUUGGCUUCGAUCCCCAUUCCCAAGUUUGGACGGGAUAUACCUGGAGUUGCAAGGCUGAGAAAUCAUCCAGGGGCAAAUAUAUUGACGUUGAAUCCAAGUAAUAGAGGUGAGGCUAACGAGCAAAUUCAUGGUGAGAUAUUAAACAUGCUAGAACAGCAGCAGCAUUAAGAGCGUUAAUGCUUUGGUUGCUUCUAUCUAUGUUGAGAAAUCAAAGCCAAAUUAUACUUACAGAAGCUGAUGAAAACCCGUACUUCUUCUUGAUUUGAUCAACUGCACCUACUUUGUUAUCGCCUGCAUUCCAAUCAGCGAGCAGCCUUUGUGAAUUUAGGCUUUGUAUUUGGGAGAUAUAAUACUACACUCUUCUUCACUUUGAGCAUCAUAUGCCCAAGUUGGUCAAAUGAACAGAAACUUAAGAAAAAUGCAUCAAGAAGAGAUUUUUCUUGUUCAAGAUGGAAGAACACUGACCUUUGAAAGAAUUAAAUGUACUUGCCAAUUUCUGCUUAUUUAGAGAGCCCAACAUGCUCUGUUCUUUUGGUUUUUCAA